ACAACCAAUCAAACUACAGUUCAUCUUUGAACCAACUUUAACUCACCGAAAUCGGUGGUUUAACAAUCAGUGAUUUAACUUCGAUCUGAAUGACGGUUAGUCAAUUGUAAUACGGUCUUUUUCCUUUGAUCUAGGUUUAAACUCCAAAUCGAGUUUGUACCACUACUGUAAUACGGGCCCUUAACUAUAAAUACAUCCAUCAAUAAAUGGGUAAUCAUGAUAAAUUAACUGGGUACGUGAGCAACUUUGUGAUACGCUUCCUGUGACCUAGGCUUUUUCUUUACUGUUAUCAUAAUACGAAAUAUAAUGAAAUUCAUUGUGAUUUGCAAUAAAUGCCUAUGAUUAGUAU